UACGUAGGGGGCGAGCGUUGUUCGGAAUUACUGGGCGUAAAGCGUGUGUAGGCGGCCAUUCAAGUCGGAUGUGAAAGCCCCGGGCUCAACCCGGGAAGUGCACCCGAAACUGGAUGGCUUGAGUAUCGGAGAGGUUGGUGGAAUUCUCGGUGUAGAGGUGAAAUUCGUAGAUAUCGAGAGGAACACCGGUGGCGAAGGCGGCCAACUGGACGAAUACUGACGCUGAGACACGAAAGCGUGGGGAGCAAACAGG
rnacentral:rRNA from 1 species